AUUGAACGCUGGCGGCAGGCCUAACACAUGCCAGUCGAGCGGAUGAAGGGAGCUUGCUCCUGGAUUCAGCGGCGGACGGGUGAGUAAUGCCUAGGAAUCUGCCUGGUAGUGGGGGAUAACGUCCGGAAACGGGCGCUAAUACCGCAUACGUCCUGAGGGAGAAAGUGGGGGAUCUUCGGACCUCACGCUAUCAGAUGAGCCUAGGUCGGAUUAGCUAGUUGGUGGGGUAAAGGCCUACCAAGGCGACGAUCCGUAACUGGGCUGAGAGGAUGAUCAGUCACACUGGAACUGAGACACGGUCCAGACUCCUACGGGAGGCAGCAGUGGGGAAUAUUGGACAAUGGGCGAAAGCCUGAUCCAGCCAUGCCGCGUGUGUGAAGAAGGUCUUCGGAUUGUAAAGCACUUUAAGUUGGGAGGAAGGGCAGUAAGUUAAUACCUUGCUGUUUUGACGGUACCAACAGAAUAAGCACCGGCUAACUUCGUG
rnacentral:rRNA from 1 species